rnacentral:tRNA from 1 species
AAAACUCCACCACUCUCGUAGCUAAAAAGAAAAGC